rnacentral:rRNA from 1 species
CAAUAGCGUAUAUUAAAGUUGUUGCAGUUAAAAAGCUCGUAGUUGGAUUUCUGGUUGAAGCGACCGGUCGGGCGUUGAUUCGUCUGCACUGGAGUCGGUUUUGGCCAUCCUCUAGGAAAGUGCGUCUGGUAUUAAGUUAUCGGGCGUAUGAUCCUGGUCUUUUACUGUGAAAAAAUCAGAGUGUUUAAAGCAGGCCUUCGCCUUGAAUACAUUAGCAUGGAAUAAUAAGAUAGGACUUUGGUCUAUUUUGUUGGUUUGCAGACCGAAGUAAUGAUUAAUAGGGAUAGUUGGGGGUAUUUAUAUUCCGAUGUCAGAGGUGAAAUUCUUAGAUUUUCGGAAGAUAAACUUAUGCGAAAGCAUUUACCAAGGAUGUUUUCAUUA